UUCCGGUUGAUCCUGCCGGAGAAUACCGCUAUUCGGAUUCGACUAAGACAUGCAAGUCGAGAGUCUUCGGGACUCGGCAUACUGCUCAGUAAUAUGUGGUUAACCUACCCUAUACUCAGGGAUAAUCUCGGGAAACUGAGGCUAAUACCUGAUAGAUAUCCUGUUCUGGAAUGACAGAAUAUCCAAAGGUGACGGUAUAGGAUGGGACCAUACCUUAUCAGCCUGUUGGAGGUGUAAAGAACCCUCAAAGCUAUAACGGGUACGGGCCAUGAGAGUGGGAGCCCGGAGAUGGAUUCUGAGACAUGAAUCCAGGUCCUACGGGACGCAGCAGUUACGAAAACUUCGCAAUGCUCUAACGAGCGACGAGGGAAUCCGGAGUGCUCAUGCUUUGCAUGAGCUUUUGUUUACUUCAAACAGGUAAACGAAUAAGGGGUGGGUAAUACGAGUGCCAGCCGCCGCGGUAAUACUCGAGCCCCAAGUGGUAUUCACGAUUAGUGGGUCUAAAGCGUCCGUAGCCGGUUCGAUAAGUCCCUAGUGAAAUCCUUUGGUAAACUGAAGGGCCUGCUGGGGGUACUGCCGAACUUGGGACUGGGAGAGGGUAGACGUACUCCCGGGGGAGGGGUAAAAUCCUAUAAUCCUGGGGGGACGACCUGUGGCGAAGGCUUCUACCUAGAACAGGUUCGACGGUGAGGGACGAAACCUAGGGUAGCAAACGGGAUUAGAUACCCCGGUAGUCCUAGGCGUAAACGAUGCCCGUUUGGUGUUGCAAACCUUACGAGGGUCUGCAGUGCCGGAAUGUAGAUGUUAAACGGGCCACCUGGGGAGUACGGUCGCAAGACUGAAACUUAAAGGAAUUGGCGGGGGAGCACUACAAGGGUGAAGCCUGCGGUUCAAUUGGAAUCAACGCCGGAAA
rnacentral:rRNA from 1 species